GCUUACGGCCAUACCAGCCUGGGUAUGCCCGAUCUCGUCUGAUCUCGGAAGCUAAGCAGGGUUGGGCCUGGUUAGUACUUGGAUGGGAGACCGCCUGGGAAUACCAGGUGCUGUAAGCA
rnacentral:rRNA from 1 species